UUGAACGCUGGCGGAAUGCUUUACACAUGCAAGUCGAACGGCAGCACGGGGGCAACCCUGGUGGCGAGUGGCGAACGGGUGAGUAACACAUCGGAACGCGUCCUGUAAUGGGGGAUAACCUGGCGAAAGCCAGGCUAAUACCGCAUACGUCCUGAGGGAGAAAGCGGGGGAUCGCAAGACCUCGCGUUAUAGGAGCGGCCGAUGUCGGAUUAGCUAGUUGGUGGGGUAAAGGCCUACCAAGGCGACGAUCCGUAGCGGGUCUGAGAGGACGGCCCGCCACACUGGGACUGAGACACGGCCCAGACUCCUACGGGAGGCAGCAGUGGGGAAUUUUGGACAAUGGGCGCAAGCCUGAUCCAGCCAUUCCGCGUGAGUGAAGAAGGCCUUCGGGUUGUAAAGCUCUUUCGGCCGGGAAGAAAUCGCAUCUCCUAAUACGGGGUGUGGAUGACGGUACCGGAAGAAGAAGCACCGGCUAACUACGU
rnacentral:rRNA from 1 species